rnacentral:rRNA from 1 species
AUUGAACGCUGGCGGCAGGCCUAACACAUGCAAGUCGAACGAGUGGCGGACGGGUGAGUAAUGUCUUGGAAACUGCCUGAUGGAGGGGGAUAACAACUGGAAACGGUAGCUAAUACAGCAUACCAUCGGAUGUGCCCAGAUGGGCAUAGCUAGUAGGGGGGGUAAAGGCUCACCUAGGCGACGAUCCCUAGCUGGUCUGAGAGGCAGAUCCGCCACACGGGAACGAAGACACGGUCCAGCCUCCUACGGGAGGCAGCAGUGGGGAAUAUUGCACAAUGGGCGCAAGCCUGAUGCAGCCAUGCCGCGUGUAUGAAGAAGGCCUUCGGGUUGUAAAGUACUUUCAGCGGGGAGGCGUUACCCGCAGAAGAAGCACCGGCUAACUCCGUGCCAGCAGCCGCGGUAAUUC